UACGUAGGGCGCAAGCGUUGUCCGGAAUUAUUGGGCGUAAAGAGCUCGUAGGCGGUUUGUCGCGUCUGCUGUGAAAACCUGAGGCUCAACCUCGGGCUUGCAGUGGGUACGGGCAGACUAGAGUGCGGUAGGGGUGACUGGAAUUCCUGGUGUAGCGGUGGAAUGCGCAGAUAUCAGGAGGAACACCGAUGGCGAAGGCAGGUCACUGGGCCGCAACUGACGCUGAGGAGCGGAAA
rnacentral:rRNA from 1 species